rnacentral:rRNA from 1 species
GCAAUUCGAAUUGUUUUGAUAAUUUUUUACUUAAUUUUCAAAAAUUUUUUAAACAUUUGUUAAUAAAAGUAAUUUUUUGAUGUAGUAUUAUAUUUAGAAAUAUUAAUUUUAUUUAUAGAGUAGAAGUACUGUGAAGGAAAGUUGAAAUAGAUUUAAAAAUUAAAUUUAAUAAAAGUAAAUUGAUAAAUUGUACCUUUUGUAUCAGGGCUUAUAAAAUAAAUUAUAAUGAUAUUAUAAUUCCCGAUUUAAGAAGGGCUAAUAUAUUAUGCUAGUUGAUGUGGUAUAAUCAUUAGAAAUAAUAUAUUUGCAAUGAAAUGUUAUUCGAUUCUUAAUAUAUCUGGUUUUUUGAGAAGUAAAUUUAAUUUGAUUUAUUUCUGUAAGGAUUUAAUUGCAUUAAAUUUUUAUAGAGAUGAUUUUAUAAUUUGGGGGAUAAGCUCCGGAUUAUUAAUUAUAAAAUUUAUUUAAAAGAAAUAAUUGUAAGCUUUAGAUUAGCUAUCAAUAAUAAUUUUGUUAUAAAUUAUAUUUAUUGUGAAAGAUUUUAUAAAAGUUUUAGUUUUUUAUCAGAAUAUAUGAUUUAAUAUUUAUUUUAGGGAAAUAAUGAUAAGAUUAGUAUAUAAAUAUGUAAAAAAAUAUUUAUUUGGAAGUUUAUAUUAAGGAACUAGGCAAAAUUUAUACUCGCCUGUUUAACAAAAACAUGUCUUUUUAGUGGAGAAUAUAAAGUCGGGCCUGCCCACUGAUAAAAAAAUUAAAGGGCCGCGGUAUUUUGACCGUGCAAAGGUAGCAUAAUCAUUAGUCUUUUAAUUGAAGGCUGGAAUGAAUGGUUUGACGAAGUAUAGACUGUCUCUGUAUAAUAUAUAGAAUUUAACUUUUGAGUUAAAAGGCUUAAAUUUAAAUAGAGGACGAGAAGACCCUAUAGAGUUUUAUGUACUUUUUUAAAUAAGUUUAUUUAGGUGAAGUAAUUUUUAUUUAGAAAGUAUAUUGGGUUGGGGUGACUUAAAGAUAAAAUUAACUCUUUAUUUGAUGAACAUUGAUUUAUGAAUAUGUGAUCCAUUUUUAGUGAUUAUAAGAUAAAAUUACCUUAGGGAUAACAGCGUAAUUUUUCUUGAGAGUUCUUAUCGACAGAAAAGUUUGCGACCUCGAUGUUGGACUAAGAAAAUGGCUUGAUGUAGCAGUUAGGUUAAUAAGUCUGUUCGACUUUUAAAUUCUUACAUGAUCUGAGUUCAGACCGGCGUGAGCCAGGUCGGUUUCUAUCCUUAUUUUAUAAAAAUAUUUUAGUACGAAAGGACCAAAUAUGAUAAAUAAUUUAUUUUUUAAGAACAAAAUUACUAUUUUGGCAGAAAAGUGCAUUGAAUUUAGAAUUCAAAUAUGUAAU